UACGUAGGUGGCAAGCGUUAUCCGGAAUUAUUGGGCGUAAAGGGUGCGUAGGCGGCCUGUUAAGUUUAAGGUGAAAGCGUGGGGCUUAACCCCAUAAAGCCUUAGAUACUGGCAGGCUAGAGUACUGGAGAGGAAAGUGGAAUUCCAUGUGUAGCGGUAAAAUGCGUAGAUAUAUGGAGGAACACCGGUGGCGAAGGCGGCUUUCUAGACAGUAACUGACGCUGAGGCACGAAAGCGUGGGGAGC
rnacentral:rRNA from 1 species